UACGUAGGAGGCGAGCGUUGUCCGGAAUUACUGGGCGUAAAGAGCGCGUAGGCGGUUCUGUACGACAGGUGUGAAAGCCCCCGGCUCAACUGGGGAGGGUCAUCUGUAACGGCAGGGCAAGAGUGCAGGAGAGGGACGUGGAACUCCGGGAGUAGCGGUGAAAUGCGUAGAGACCCGGAGGAACACCAGUGGCGAAGGCGGCGUCCUGGCCUGCGACUGACGCUGAGGCGCGAAAGCUAGGGGAGCAAACGGG
rnacentral:rRNA from 1 species